AAACUUAAAAGGAUACUGAGAUAGUGAAAAAAAAAAACAAAACUUGUGGUAAUAAAUUGAAGUGAAUGAUGUUAUUUAGCCUGAAGAAGGCCUAGAGGCGAGGGCAGAGGACAUGAUACCUGUAUUUAAGCACCUAAAGAGAUAUCAUAUGAAGGAAUUAUUUGUUUCUCUUUGACCCCACAGGGCAGAACCAGGAGUAAUGACCAGAAGUCACAAAUUGUCUUAAACAUAGGAAAAGUCUUCUAAAUAAUGAGAUCUACAUUAAAACAGAUGAGUUUCAAGUGAUGAUAGUUUCAAGUAUGUCAUGUAUGUUAUAUUGUCAAGUAUCUUAUAUUGGAAAUUCCCUCCACAAAUGUGUUGAUCUAUGUGAUUGCUAAAGUCUUUUAUAAUUAUAAUUCAGUUAUUUUCUGAUUCUGUGAUUUGAUAAGUAAAAGAACAGAAAGAAUAGAACAAUGUAUAUAUCUGAGAAACAAUGAAUAAUUUAAAUUGGUUGUUCUAGUAGUGAAAUAAUAUUCAACAAGAAUGCAAAAGAGAGCUAUUGCUUGAUGUUGGUCCAGACAAAAGAGCUUAAGUUUCCUAGGAGUGCUAUUGUAUCCUCAUUUUAGACUUCUCUUCUACCUUUCAGUAGAGAUUUGACUUGGAAAGAGCCAAAGGAAAUGAAGAAAGAUUCAUCAAGAGAUAGGAUAGUGACCAAGAUCUAGAAGAGAGAUUCCUGGGCAGCAUAAUAGUGGUACUGUUACUUGCUGGGUUUUGAUGGAAGGGAAUCAGAAGUGGUAAAUCUUGAUAAUCCUGAGAAGCACAGAAAGCCUUCAAAGAGCUAAUGCAGAAUGAAGUGAGCAGACUGGAAUAAGCCAUGGACACAAUAAUCACAAUAAAGAAAAAGAAAAGAAAAACAGCAUCAGCAAUAAAAUGAAAAUGAGCACUUGCUUAAAAACAUGUUAUGAAGCAGUGUGAUGGGGCCCUCACUACUCUGACACUGGCUAGAAGUCUUCAUUUUGAUGCAGUGAAUGGUUGUAAGAUCAGCACUUCAGAGAAGACAAAUAAACAAUGUAAUAUAUAUAGUAUUACUCUUAUUUAACUAAAAAUGCCCCCUUUCCAGCAUACUUGUAUGUCCAGUUAACACAUUAAUAAG
rnacentral:lncRNA from 1 species